rnacentral:tRNA from 1 species
GGUGUAGCCAAGAGGUUAAGGCACCGGAUUUUGAUUCCGGCAUUACGUUGGUUCAAAUCCAGCCAC